rnacentral:rRNA from 3 species
UUAAAUUGAAGAGUUUGAUCAUGGCUCAGAUUGAACGCUGGCGGCAGGCCUAACACAUGCAAGUCGAACGGUAGCACAGAGAGCUUGCUCUCGGGUGACGAGUGGCGGACGGGUG